rnacentral:rRNA from 1 species
GACGAACGCUGGCGGCGUGCCUAAUACAUGCAAGUUGAGCGCUGAAGGUUGGUACUUGUACCAACUGGAUGAGCAGCGAACGGGUGAGUAACGCGUGGGGAAUCUGCCUUUGAGCGGGGGACAACAUUUGGAAACGAAUGCUAAUACCGUAUAAAAACUUUAAACACAAGUUUUAAGUUUGAAAGAUGCAAUUGCAUCACUCAAAGAUGAUCCCGCGUUGUAUUAGCUAGUUGGUGAGGUAAAGGCUCACCAAGGCGAUGAUACAUAGCCGACCUGAGAGGGUGAUCGGCCACAUUGGGACGGAGACACGGCACAAACUCCUACGGGAGGCAGCAGUAGGGAAUCUUCGGCAAUGGACGAAAGUCUGACCGAGCAACGCCGCGUGAGGGAAGAAGGUUGUCGGGUCGGAAAACUCUGUUGGUAGAGAAGAACGUUGGUGAGAGUGGAAAGCUCAUCAAGUGACGGUAACUACCCAGAAAGGGACGGCUAACUACGUG